AUUUGUCGCCCAGGGAUGAGCCCGCGUAGGAUUAGCUAGUUGGUGGGGUAAUGGCCUACCAAGGCGACGAUCCUUAGCUGGUNUGAGAGGAUGAUCAGCCACACUGGGACUGAGACACGGCCCAGACUCCUACGGGAGGCAGCAGUGGGGAAUAUUGGACAAUGGGCGAAAGCCUGAUCCAGCAAUUCCGCGUGAGUGAUGAAGGCCUUAGGGUUGUAAAGCUCUUUUACCAGGGAUGAUAAUGACAGUACCUGGAGAAUAAGCUCCGGCUAACUCCGUGCCAGCAGCCGCGGUAAUACGGAGGGAGCUAGCGUUGUUCGGAAUUACUGGGCGUAAAGCGCGCGUAGGCGGUUACUCAAGUCAGAGGUGAAAGCCCGGGGCUCAACCCCGGAACUGCCUUUGAAACUAGGUGACUAGAAUCUUGG
rnacentral:rRNA from 1 species